rnacentral:rRNA from 1 species
CAGUAGCCGCGGGAAUACGAGGGGGGCAAGCGUUGUUCGGAAUUAUUGGGCGUAAAGGGCGCGUAGGCGGUUUGACAAGUUUGGUGUGAAAUCUAUGGGCUCAACCCAUAGCCUGCAUCGAAAACUGUCGGGCUUGAGUAUGGGAGAGGUGAGUGGAAUUUCCGGUGUAGCGGUGAAAUGCGUAGAUAUCGGAAGGAACACCUGUGGCGAAAGCGGCUCACUGGACCAUUACUGACGCUGAGGCGCGAAAGCUAGGGGAGCAAACAGGAUUAGAUACCCCAGUAGUCCCUGUCUCUUAUAC